rnacentral:misc_RNA from 1 species
UACGUGGGAACAGGUGCGGAAUAGCACUACUAUACUCACAAGGGAGUUCAUUGAUGCUCUACCAAAUGGAUGGGAGGACUAUGCAUGGCGCAGGAUUAAUAAGGGAAUACUUCUUAACCACUGUCUGAAUAAAACUUUAUGCAUGGAGAAACUAUCAUUGGUGCUCCCUGAAACACCACCAUAUGUUCCAAGACAGUUUGACCGAUGUGCCGUUAUUGGCAAUUCGGGUGAUCUUUUAAAGACAAGAUUUGGGAAGGAAAUAGAUGGUUAUGAUGCUGUUGUUAGAGAAAAUGGCGCCCCC